rnacentral:rRNA from 1 species
AUUGAACGCUGGCGGCAUGCCUUACACAUGCAAGUCGAACGGUAACAGGUCUUUCGGGAUGCUGACGAGUGGCGAACGGGUGAGUAAUACAUCGGAACGUGCCUAGUAGUGGGGGAUAACUACUCGAAAGAGUGGCUAAUACCGCAUGAGAUCUAUGGAUGAAAGCAGGGGACCUUCGGGCCUUGUGCUACUAGAGCGGCCGAUGGCAGAUUAGGUAGUUGGUGGGAUAAAAGCUUACCAAGCCUACGAUUUGUAGCUGGUCUGAGAGGACGAUCAGCCACACUGGGACUGCGACACGGCCCAGACUCCUACGGGAGGCAGCAGUGGGGAAUUUUGGACAAUGGGCGCAAGCCUGAUCCAGCAAUGCCGCGUGCAGGAUGAAGGCAUUCGGGUUGUAAGCUGCUGUUGUACGGAACGAAAAGUCUUGGGUUAAUACCCUGGGAUCAUGACGGUACCGUAAGAAUAAGCACCGGCUAACUACGUGCCAGCCGCCGCAGUAACAC